rnacentral:misc_RNA from 1 species
CGAGGUCGUCCCUCGAUGGAUAUUUGCUUGCCUUUCCGACGCACUGUCGUCCGGGCGGCCGAAUUGUUGGCGAAAUCCCUGUGUCGGUGCGCGGUCGGACGCCGCGUUGCUAUCGCUUGGAUUUCUGCCGGCUCUCACGGAUGCGGUGCCUAUUGCCAGCUCUGCGGGGCUCUGCCCCGCAGACUUCGGGAGGUCCCUCGCGCGCAUCACUGCUCUCAUACGCCGUCUGUCGUGUUGCCGGUGGCGACGCGCAGAUCGUGUUCUGCCGUGCUGUAGUUAACGACGCGCCAGAACAAAGUGUCCGGAGCGUGCUCGCGCGCGUGCGGACUGCCUCUCGUUCGUAUGAGCAGCGAUUUCCGGUCCGCGUCGUGCGAAGGCGCGCCCGUUCGGGUUGGCGCCGGAGCCGACGCGCCGGCUCUCGUUUAAGACGUGCUACCUGGUUGAUCCUGCCAGUAGUCAUAUGCCUUGUCUAGAA